CAGGAUUCUUGCUGGUAUCCG
rnacentral:miRNA from 1 species